rnacentral:rRNA from 1 species
AGCGAACGCUGGCGGUAGGCCUAACACAUGCAAGUCGAACGGCAGCACAGUAAGAGCUUGCUCUUACGGGUGGCGAGUGGCGGACGGGUGAGGUAUACAUCGGAAUCUACUUUUUCGUGGGGGAUAACGUAGGGAAACUUACGCUAAUACCGCAUACGACCUACGGGUGAAAGCAGGGGAUCUUCGGACCUUGCGCGAUUGAAUGAGCCGAUGUCGGCUUAGCUAGUUGGCGGGGUAAUGGCCCACCAAGGCGACAAUCCGUAGCUGGUCUGAGAGGAUGAUCAGCCACACUGGAACUGAGACACGGUCCAGACUCCUACGGGAGGCAGCAGUGGGGAAUAUUGGUCAAUGGGCGCAAGCCUGAUCCAGCCAUACCGCGUGGGUGAAGAAGGCCUUCGGGUUGUAAAGCCCUUUUGUUGGGAAAGAAAAGCAGCAGGUUAAUACCCCGCUGUUCUGACGGUACCCAAAGAAUAAGCACCGGCUAACUUCGUG